rnacentral:rRNA from 1 species
GCGGCGAACGGGUGAGUAACACGUGGGUGAUCUGCCCUGCACUCUGGGAUAAGCUUGGGAAACUGGGUCUAAUACCGGAUAUGACCACAGCAUGCAUGUGUUGUGGUGGAAAGAUUUAUCGGUGCAGGAUGGGCCCGCGGCCUAUCAGCUUGUUGGUGGGGUAAUGGCCUACCAAGGCGACGACGGGUAGCCGACCUGAGAGGGUGACCGGCCACACUGGGACUGAGACACGGCCCAGACUCCUACGGGAGGCAGCAGUGGGGAAUAUUGCACAAUGGGCGGAAGCCUGAUGCAGCGACGCCGCGUGAGGGAUGAAGGCCUUCGGGUUGUAAACCUCUUUCAGCAGGGACGAAGCGUGAGUGACGGUACCUGCAGAAGAAGCACCGGCUAACUACGUGCCAGCAGCCGCGGUAAUACGUAGGGUGCGAGCGUUGUCCGGAAUUACUGGGCGUAAAGAGUUCGUAGGCGGUUUGUCGCGUCGUUUGUGAAAACCCGGGGCUCAACUUCGGG